rnacentral:miRNA from 1 species
GCAGACACAGUCCAGCCAAUCAGCAGCAGACCCUCCCUCCCAGACCCUCCCUCCCUCCUGGACAGCAUCCAUUUUGAAGCUGCAUUCUUAGUGAGCUGUCCAGGACGUGGGAGGGUCUGGGAGGGAGGGUCUGCUGCUGAUUGGCUGGAAUGUGUCU